AGCACACUGGUUAGUGCAGUCUGCCGGAAACAGAAAGACGCGGGUUCAAUUCCCGU
rnacentral:tRNA from 1 species